rnacentral:rRNA from 1 species
GACAGAGGGUGCAAACGUUGCUCGGAAUUACUGGGCGUAAAGCGCGUGUAGGCGGUCACGCAAGUCAGGUGUGAAAGCCCAGGGCUCAACCCUGGAAGUGCACAUGAUACUACGUGGCUGGAGUACUGAAGAGGAGAGCGGAAUUCCCGGUGUAGAGGUGAAAUUCGUAGAUAUCGGGAGGAACACCAGUGGCGAAGGCGGCUCUCUGGGCAGAUACUGACGCUGAGGCACGAAAGCGUGGGGAGCAAACAGG